AUGACGCCAAUGUCAACAUCAUCAACCCAGUGCCGCAAGGAUCGUGAUGGGGAGCUCGCAAGAAGGACGCCCGCCAUCCACUUCGUCAUGCUGGAGCUAGAGGACGGAGGCGUGGCACGUUGGGGAUGCCGCCGAUGUCUACUUCGUCAAGCUGGAGCCCAGAGGCGUGGAGCUCGCAGGGACUCCGCCGUGUGCCGCGGAGGAAGGCGAGACGGAGCUCGCUAG
rnacentral:rRNA from 1 species